GUGCAGCAGGCGCGAAUACUGUGCAAUGCGCGAAAGCGCGACACGGGGAGCUUGAGUGUCUUGGCAUAGCCAAGACUUUUCUUAUACCUAAAAAGUAUGAGGAAUAAGUGCUGGGUAAGACGGGUGCCAGCCGCCGCGGUAACACCCGCAGCACAAGUGGUGGUCACUUUUAUUGAGCCUAAAGCGUUCGUAGCCUGUUUUGUAAAUCUUCAAGUAAAGCCUGAAGCUCAACUCCAGAAAGCUUGAAGAGACUGCAAAACUUGAGAUCGGGUGAGGUUAAACGUACUUUCAGGGUAGGGGUAAAAUCCUGUAAUCCUGGAAGGACGACCAGUGGCGAAGGCGUUUAACUAGAACGAAUCUGACGGUGAGGAACGAAGGCUAGGGUAGCAAACCGGAUUAGAUACCCGCGUAGUCC
rnacentral:rRNA from 1 species